AUACGGAGGAUCCGAGCGUUAUCCGGAUUUAUUGGGUUUAAAGGGUGCGUAGGUGGUUUGAUAAGUCAGCGGUGAAAGUUUGCAGCUUAACUGUAAAAAUGCCGUUGAAACUGUCGGACUUGAGUGUAAAUGAGGUAGGCGGAAUGCGUGGUGUAGCGGUGAAAUGCAUAGAUAUGCCACAGAACACCGAUAGCGAAGGCAGCUGGCCGGGCCUGCAUUGACGCUGAGGCACGAAAGCGUGGGGAUCGAACAGGAUUAGAUACCCUGGUAGUCCACGCUGUAAACGAUGGACACUCGUUGUCGGCGACAGACAGUCGGCGGCCAAGCGAAAGUGAUAAGUGUCCCACCUGGGGAGUACGGUCGCAAGGCUGAAACUCAAAUGAAUUGACGGGG
rnacentral:rRNA from 1 species